GAGCUACUCAUCCUGCCUGCAGGAGCCGUUUCAGUCCCAGUGAAAUGGAUUUAUUAUCACGAGUUUUUUAAAAGGCAUUCUGUUUUAUUCCCUGUCUCCAGCACAUUUUAAUGCUCAAGUGCUUUUGCAGAUGUAGGCACUCUGGGCCUGGGGAGGCAGGAGCCCCACCCCUCGGCCUUCCUGAAAGCUAUCUAUUUACUUUUAUGAUCGUAAAAGGUGUUUCCAGAUGCCUGUGGUACUACUGCUAUCCCUCCAGGAACUGUGGACAUGAAGCCUCAGACUCCACUUUCCUUGCCUCAGGAUGGCUAGAGCCCCUGACCACAAACAGCAGAAUCUCCUUGGACCAGUCUAAGCAGAAAAGUAAAUGCUACAGGAUCCAUCAGAGAAUCAUGCAGAAUGCGAGUGCGUUUUAAGACUGUGCUUCCAGGACCAACACCUGGGCGGUGUGACGGGCGCGGAUAGGAGCCCCCAAGGAGCCUCCAAGCCAAAGGAGGAGGAAGACCAGCAAACUUCCCAGAACUGCCCCCAGGAGGACGGAACGGACCAUCCAACCUAAGACAGCUCUGCCAACCAGGAACAUGUUCACAUUUCUCUGAGUGCUUGCUUAAUUCUCCCAUCUCCAGGAAAAGGAAGCCUUUUAAAUUAAAUUUGCAGAGUUGUCUCUCUUAUGUUCAAGAAGUCUUCAGAUUAUUUUAAACACGCUGUAAGCUUAUCAGUUCCACAGAGAGAUGACCUCAUUGAUCAGGGGGGCUUUCAGAGCGUCUGAUUAGGAAAAGCAACCGCUAAGAUUCAAUGCCCACUCAGGAGGCUUAGGUGCCCAAAUUGUGUUGAAAGAUGUACUCUUUGCUCUAAGUAGUAACUUCUGAAAACUGUAAUAAGCAACUAUGAGGUUAUGUAAUUCUUAAUUAGGAAGGCUUUCAGAAGAAAGGUGAAUGUGGUUGUGUUUAAAUGAAGCAGAACUGGAAAGACUGGAUCCGCGCACUGCAGACUGUCCUUACCAUCCACACCGUCGGCUCCCAUCUCCAGCGCUGGUUUCCAGACACCGAGCACGGAUGUCGGCAGGCCCAGCGCUGCUGACGGGAGCCUGUUUUAACAGCUUCACCCCGUGCUCUGCUCUCACUCUUGGCCAGAAGCAAAGACACUGCGAUGGAAUUCAGUGAAAGGCACGGCAGCACGCGUUGGCCUUCCAUCCGGCUCAUGCUGACCUUUCCCCUGACUCUUGGCAGAACUUGGGCCAAGAGCGGAGCUGCAGUUAAAAA